GCACGUGUGGAGGUCAGUACAACCCGCAGGGGUUGGUCUCUUCUUGUACCCUGCGGGUCUCAUGGAUCGGCGGGUCCCAUGGAUCCCAAAUCCUCAGGCUUGGCGUCUGAACUAUCGCUGUAGCCCGGAGCGUCAUUCCUUGAAAGCCACGUGACAGGGUGUCUUUUGCCACCACGAGACCACAAGGUUCUCAAAGCGAUAAAACCUCUGGGGAUCCAUGCCAGACUCACCAGGUAAGGAAAUACAAGUUUAAGUUUAUGAGGACCAGAGACGGCCCGGGCUUGGUUACCUCCGGAAGUCGUUUCGAUCGGUGGCGAAGCGGAAGACGCCGCGGAGCCAGUCUCCCACGUUGUCUGGAACCUCUGAGGCCUCGCUGGCCGACCCGGCGGCGCUCACAGUCACUCCGCUGGAAGCCAUACCAGCACUAAGCACGUACCAACCGAGCGUCGCACCGGGUCGUCGCAAGCCGAUCGCGCAACUUCCGAUCUCCGCACUUCCGCCGAUCAGCGUUUUCGGGGGUCUUCCAGGGCUCUGGAAGGCGUUGGCCAAAGAAAAAGCCUUCGGGUUCCGACUCAGAGGAAGAGGAGCAGGGUUUCCAGGGUGAGAGUGGGAACUGCAGAGAGAAGCGCAGCUCGGGAGGUGAUCUUGUCAUCCGAGGAGGCACGGUUCCAGCCGACGCUUGGAUCGGGUCCUUCUUCCUCUGUUCCAAACCCAUCAGAAAUGCCCAUCUCAGAGCCCCCAAGUCCUUGUGCAAGAGGCGGGCCAGGGUUGCGUGCAGCCUCCCGCCCCGCCCCAGGCUGUGCCGUGCGCGCCACCGCUGCCGCCAGUCUACCCCAGGGGCCCCCCGCCUCCGUCCACCAGUGGGCGACCGCCUCCCCCGCCUGGGAGCGAGUCCGGCGCCGCAGCCCCGCCGGGUGGGUUCAAGAGGCCUUUGGAGCUCGCAGGCCAGGGACGCGCGGUGAGAGCUGCGGGCCCCAAUGCUCGCGUCUGGGGGUUGCGGUGGGAGGACUGGGUGUUGCUGGAGCGGGUAGGACAGCGUAGAGAUGGGGCGAAGGGUUCUGAUCUGGGAAAUUACCCCCUUCUAUGCUCAGCCCAAGCCGCCGCUCCCUCCCCUUAAGAUCUGCACCGUCCCCUCCUUUACCAAAGGACGCUUGUCCUUCCGCUACUCCUACUGAGCUAGAGCCCGCACUUCUGUAGCGUUUCGAGAAGCAGCUGGGGCAGCAUGGGCUACCCCCCGGCAGGGCAUAACGUCCCCCAUCCAGGGGCCCUGCGCAGUCCUGGCAGCAGAAGUGGUUCUCGUGCCAGCGCUGUCCCUCUGCCUCAGUGCAGCGCUGGGAGAAGAUCAGCUGGGUGAGGGAAAGGAAACUGAUUCAUUCAUUCAUUCAUUCAUUCAUUCAUUCAUUCACUCACCCAUUCUUUCAUUCAUCCAAUAACCACGCCUUAUACCCAUUAACGCUAUGCCCACAGGCGUUCUGAUUUGAAGUACUUUGUGACUUUUGGAUUCAGAGAGGGUGAUUGGCUUUGGGCCGGAUCGUCCACGUAGCAGGUGGCCCAGUCCGAAAUUGGACCCCAGAGCUUCCCUAACUCCUAUCCCAAGAUUCAAUACGGCCUUUCAUGUUGAUGUUAAGAUCCUUCUAGAAUUGGGCAAGCACAGCAUUGAUCAUCUGACAUAGUGAUGAGAUAAACACCUGCUCAAGGAUCCAGAAACGUUCUGAGUCCAAACUAAUUUAAGGACCUCUGCUCGAACUGGGGAAGAGAGAGAGAGAGAUAAAUAAAGGCAACAGGUCAGGUCCCACAGGCCCAUACCUCAAGAGAACAAAAGGGAAUGGGGUGGCCCUGGCUGUUUCCUAGUUCUGAUGAGCCUGCAGCCUAGCAAGCUGUUCCUUGUCCCCGUGUGUUCCUGGGAACUCCCCUAGUGCCUCCUCUUGGUACUCUACCUGGUCACAAGCUGGACAUCGAGGUCGUAAGAGCUCCGCAUGAUGACGGCCACAGUACAGGUGCCCCUCGUGGUAGAAGUAGAUGAGGUUUAUGAGGCCCUGGCCACAGGCCUGGCAAGCAAAGCAGGGUCUGUGCCAGCAGCUCUGCUCACCAGCCCUGGCCGCGAACACUCCAUACUCCCCUGGAUCCAGUAGCUUCUUGCACUGCNNGGGGGGGGGGGGACACACGACACUGAGCUGAUCAGAAUCUGACGCUUCUUAGCUCCUUUCAUGGCUCUUCUACCACAACCCCCAAUCUGACUGUUCUCAUAUGUGCUUGCAGGCCCCUCUCCCCAAGAAAGGCCACCAAACCCCCCCCAAACCUGGCUUCCAUUUUAACAUUUACCAAACCACUGCUCCUGAAACCACUUCUCCACCAAAGUCCCCCAAGACCCUUCUUCAGAAGCAAGAGAGCAAAGGAUAGAGGAAGGGGAAGGCUCAGGGAUGGAGGAGGGAGGCAGACUCCCUACCUUCUUACAGGUGUAUCCUUCAAGCUUAGGAGGCAGUAGACAGGCCACCCCCUGUCCCAGGGAUUUCUGCUUCCGCUGGGCACAGAAGAGUCGAAGUUGGGCCAGUUCCUCCUCCCCUAGGGCCAGACAGUAGCGUUCCUGCUGAAACAGGUUCCCAUGCACCCAGACCUCAGGGUAGAACACCAGGAGGACCAGAAAGCUCUGUAAGGCUUAGAUACCAGGUCAGAAAGAAGUAGAGCCUUGGGAGAGAACAGCACAUGUGCUCAAAAAAGGGAAGAGAACGCAAUUCGUUCUGUUCACUCUGGGGCCCAUGGAAAUGGCCACCACAUAGGGGCCCCUUAGCACCUUGAACAGUCACCAGAUAGCUUGGCUCCUGUUCCCAUGAAACUAGAUCUCAGCAUCGCUUUCAGGUCUGUGUGUUCUCUCUGCUUCAUAGCUGCCUUGGCUCCCCUAGUGAAGUCUAAGCCUUUAGGCUGUACACGGUGGGGCCUCAAUAAAUGCUAAACGAUC
ensembl:antisense Tomm6os translocase of outer mitochondrial membrane 6, opposite strand